rnacentral:lncRNA from 1 species
ACAAUUCCUGUUUGGUGAAAUAUAGAAGCUGUAGCAUCAUAGUCACCAUCAGUUUGCGAGAGCUGGGAAAUAGUACAGUUUUACAAACAGGAGUAUUGCUCUUUAAAAAAUAUCCCCAAAUAGGAAUAUGCGACAUUCUGAUAAACAUUGCGAUGAGAAUUUUGAGAAAGAAAGCUGAAAAUCUGCUCACUGUCGCAAUGCUGAUAGAAGAACCUUGGAAGUUUACAUCUGUUCUCAUGUCUAAUGAAAUACCGUUUAAAAAUGUACAAACGCGGAUGCACAUAAUAACUAAUCUCUAACUACAUCACAUCUGCACCGAGCAUAAGAAGCAAACCGUGCAGUGCACAAUCUGAUUGAUUUGCAUCUCUCCUGCAAUUUAUAGGAAUUGAAUUGAAUCCAACCAAUUGCCUUUGGAACACAGAAAAUCCAUUAGCAGCUAGCCUGUAAAGAGGUGAAUAAAAAAGGGGAAAUCCAUUAGGCCCGUUUUAUUCUUCCACAGAGUAAUAGAUACAAAAAGAAUGAACUAAACGGUGAUGAACUGAAGCGUCAUAUGGUAUAGGAAUAUUUACUGCAGAUGUAUCUACUUGGUAGAAAUAAAAUAGAUCAUCUGUGAAGUUACACAAUAACGGUUUUAAAACUCAAACAAAAUUUUCUCUUACUGAAUAUGGGCAGAAACCUAGUACGAAAUACACCUCACCUUUGAUACUUACCUAAUAUCAUCAUAACUGAAAAUUGUCCAUGGGUAUUACUUAACUGUCUUUGCUACAUCUUCGAAUCUAGGCAAAUAAAAAUGUAGACCUAUUCUAAUGUGAUUGAGUCUCAGUAUAUGUGUGUGCAUGUGUAAGUGCCCAUAUUGGUCGAGUAAAAUUAGAUACUUGCCUCAACAUAGGCCGAAUAUUAAAAUAAGUAAAAUAGUACCCGCAUAAUUAUGUGAUUUUGCUUCUUUUAGGGAAAUCCAUUUUUUUAAGAGAGAAAGGAAAUCCAAUUUUACGUACCAGAGAGAUACCUAAAGUGAAGCAUAAAAUAUGUCAUACUAACACUCACGGUAUUGGCGGCAAUGCUAAAGUAUAAUAGAUUAGAAUCUGUGCAACAUGUACUUGCUGGUUUAGAAUUUAGUGUGUCCGUAUUUUUGAUCCAUAAGUAACACGUUCGAAAUAUAAUUAACCUCAUCUGUUCACUCGAAUUGUUUCUAUACUGCAUCACAAUAAUACCUAUUGAUAUUUGCUAAUGAUAGUAGUUAUCAAUCGUAUGCAAGCAAGUGGUCAGGUACUAAUAAAAGUUACCUUUAUAACAGAACAAUGUAGUCCAGGAGACACUAAAUUUUUACAGCACAAAUUCUGAACUGAUGUGCUUAUUCAAAAAUAAACUAAGAAGGAGGCAAAAAUAAAACGGUUCUACCUAUCUUGUAAAAAAACAAUUCUACCUGUCUUGUAACAUGGAUCAGGAGCUUGUUCAACCAGGCAGUAGAACCAGCGGGGAGCACCAUGCCUUGCACAUGAAAAAUUAAGAAUUAAUAUUCAAGUAAGGUACAACUGUUCAGUGAUAAUCUGAAUCUUCAAGGUUCUCUUCGACUUCAGCUAACUGAUCUGGUAUUGGGAAGAUAACUUGAAAAAAAUACACGAGCUACCUCUGUUGGCUGUGUUUGCCGUUGCCCGCAGCCACAACCUCCCCCUCCCUAUCUCCAGGAUCUACCCAAAUAAAUCCACCACAUCCAAUAUAGCAACACCUCUGCAAAAUUGAGAUUGAGAUGACAUCAGGAGUGAUUGUUUGAUGGAAGAAGGAAAUCAUACACGAACGGGAAAGCGAUCUAGGGGAAGCCUUUCUUCGAGGUCAAGGUCGGGAAGGGAGCGCGCUAGGUCGCCAUGGCACUAAUCCACAUCCACGCCGCUGGGAAGGAGGAUGAUUCAUCAUUGCCGCUGCCCAGGUGCUAGAUCUGCCUUCACUGGUGCGGCUAGGUUAAGCCGAGAGUGGGAAAGGAAGAGUGUGCGGCUAGGGUUAGGGACGCCGAGAGUGGGGAGCGAGGGGAGGUUACGG